CAUUACAGAGUUCAUGCCCUUACGGGUAGAUCUCCCACCCUUGUGUAUUAUACCUUUGUUGCUUUGGCAGGCCGCUUCGGCUACCGGCUUCGGCUGGUGAGUGCCUGCCAGAGAACCCAAAAUUCUGAAUGUUAGUGUCGUCUGAGUACUAUAUAAUAGUUAAAACUUUCAACAACGGAUCUCUUGGUUCUGGCAUCGAUGAAGAACGCAGCGAAAUGCGAUAAGUAAUGUGAAUUGCAGAAUUCAGUGAAUCAUCGAAUCUUUGAACGCACAUUGCGCCCCUUGGUAUUCCGAGGGGCAUGCCUGUUCGAGCGUCAUUAUAACCCUCAAGCUCUGCUUGGUAUUGGGCCUCGCUAGUAAUAGCGUGCCUUAAAAUCAGUGGCGGUGCCGUCUGGCUCUAAGCGUAGUAAUUUUUUCUCGCUCUGGACGUCAUAUGGAUACUUGCCAUUAACCCCCAAUUUUUAAAGGUUGACCUCGGAUCAGGUAGGGAUACCC
rnacentral:rRNA from 1 species